AUACACGAACUUUACAAGAACCAGGAAGUGUGAUGUUAAGAGAUGUGAGCACUGUGGAGCCAAGCAUGAUGCACCAGCCCUGCUUUUGUGUUGAAAGACAAGUUUCUCCUCUGACCAGGCCAACAGAUUCCUGAGAUGACGGAAGUCCAAGAAAUUGGAAUUUCCCCAGCAGUCUUAUGCUGGGAAAGAAGGGGCUGGCAGCCGUGUGCCUGCCAGAGUUUGUCUCCAGGAAAAAGAUUCUGCACAGAGUUUGCCGACGAGUCAGACGGACCACCUUGAAGGAGAGACUGGAGCCAAGACAAGGAUGACGGAAGGAAGUUCCGUCUGUCCGCCCUCCAGAAGGAAGUUCCGUCUGUCCGCCCCACCUCCAGAAAGAAAACUGAGGAUGUUUUUAUAAGUUCCUGAACAUCUGUCCCAGAAACAGGGGAUCUGCGCCUUGAUUGUAGUAGGGACCUGGCGCGAGCCUUCUCUGGCUGCCAAGGGAAGCAGCUGGCUUUCUUCCUGUGCCUAAGGCUGGAUCAUCUAUGGGACUUAAGGAAGGAGAGAGAAAGAAGGUUUUUUUUUGUUGUUGUUUUGUUGGUGAUGGUAGAAUAUUUUUUUCUUUUGUUCACUUGUUUUCUAAAUGUGGGGAUGGGGGUGGGAGGAUGCCUUAUUCAAUAUGAGUGUUUACCAUCGCUCUUGCAGAGCACCAGAUUCUGUUUCCAGCACCCGCGCAGCAAGACGUUCACAACUGCCUACUAACUCCAGGACAUUCAAUACCCUCCAGUCUCUGAGGGGACCUGCAUGCACAAGGUGCACACAAGCUUACACAAGCACAUAUAUACAUACACAUCUAAAUAAAAACAAACAAACAAAUAAACAAACAAAAAAAAGAAUCUUCAAAUGAGGGUGGUGGUGUUCUUAUAGGACCCUGCACAUUUGGGUCUUUUAUGACAUCACGGAUGGCUAAAUGCUGCCUCUGUUGUUGGUGUUAUGUUUUUCUGGGGCAGGGUAUCUCACCCAAGGCUCUAGGCUGGUUUCUAGGCUUGUUUUGAUUUUAUUUAGAAGGUUGGUUUUGAGAUAAGGCCUCAAGGUGUAGUCUAGGGGCUGGCUUCUAAUUUAGCUUUUCUACCUCAGCCUCCCAAGGGCAGGGUAACAGAUGUGCAUGUUGUACCUUAUACAGGUUAUACUUUACCUGUGUGCCUGGCUCACAGGGUGCUGUUUUCACUGGGCUGAAAUCACUUGGGAUUAUUUUCUCUUUCUCUGACACUGGAAAAAAUGUUUGCUUUGAUGAAAUACUUAUAUAAAUGUAUAAAGUUUUGUUUGUUUUUCUCUGUACAGUCCCUGAAGUCCUGCUCUGUAGACAUGGCUGGCCUCAAACUCAAGAGAUCUGCCUGCCUCUUUCCCGAGGGCUGGGAUUUUAAAAGUGUGUGUAAUUCUUUCAAAAGAACUAUGUGCUUCUCCGACAUGGCUCUCUGUAGAGAUGCUAUUUUUGCUGUUGGCAGGGUCAAAGAAUUAACAUUGCAUGACUUUGGUAAUGAAAGAGUCUUUAUUUCUUUUCGUGAUAAUAAAAAAAAAUGUUUUUGAAGUUAAAAAAGAAAAACAUUUUCUAUGGGCACUUGCUAUGAAUUGGCUUUUCUACCACUAUUGAGCGACCUUCCUAUACUAGGGGUUUCUAAUGGGAAACCUGUAUUAAUGAGAGCAGAGAGAAAGCUCAUCUCCAGAAAUUGCUAAAAUAAUUAAAUAAAUUAUUUUAAAAUAAUUAAAGGAACAGACACAUUAACCAAAAGUUUCAAUCACCAGUUAGGAAGGAAGAAUUUUACAGAAAAAGAGCUGUCAUGGAACGAGAUCAAACUAUCCAACAAAGUGGAAGUCACAUGGUAGCAAGUGCUUCCUAUAGUCUGAGGAAAGGCUCCCUACCUACCCAGAGGGAAGUUCUAGCCAGUACUGAAGGUACUGAGGGUCCUGAUAAUGGAAACGUCAUAGGUCAGACCACACCAAUUUCGGGAAAUUAAAAACCUGUGACAAAGUGACUUCAGAGCUUUGAGGUGUGUUGGGAUGGGGGUUAUUGUGUCUUAAAGCAAUAAAGAGAAGGAAUAUGUUUUGGUGGAUUGUAGUCAGAUGUGGGGGAAGGGGACACCUCAGGGGCCCACACUGAGCCAUCCCUUCCCCCUGAGGGACCAGCCACAGGACAGGACAGGAUAGUAUAGAAUAGAGUUUAUUCAGGGUAUGGGCAGGGUAGUUGAGAGGGUAGAAGAGACAGAAGUGACAGAAGAGAGAGAGAGGAGAGGAGCAGAGGCCGGUCAUGAGCACCUGGAAUGGGAAGAGAAGGGGUAAGGACCCAGAAGUACAGAGCUACAGCAAGAAGGCAAGAGAGAAGGGGGCAGGCAGCACCUUUUAUUGUGAGUCAGGCACACCUGGGUGUUGCCAGGUAACUGUGGGGCAGAGCCUAGACAAAAUGCCAACAGGGGCGCUGUCAUAUUUAGCACGCUUGGAGUUAUCCUGAACAAUAUCUCAAUCAUAAGACCUUUUUCUGAGAAACCAGGGGCAGGGUUGUGAUAAAAGCAAGAAUCCAAGGAAAGCCUAUGCCCUGAUACUUCUUGUUCUAGAUUCUUCCCCCUCCCCUCCCCUCCCCUGAAAUAUAUGGGAUUAAACAUCAGGCCCUGAAUGACUGGGGUAACUGCCCUACCAUUUUUCUACAUGUUUAAGUACUGUCAGCACUUCUCUAACCCCGAAUGUGAAUUGCAACCUCAGUUUGACUUUUUAAAAUUACA
rnacentral:lncRNA from 1 species